AGAGUUUGAUCCUGGCUCAGGAUGAACGCUAGCGACAGGCUUAACACAUGCAAGUCGAGGGGCAGCAUAAAAGUAGCAAUACUUUGGUGGCGACCGGCGCACGGGUGAGUAACGCGUAUGCAACCUACCUAUCAGAGGGGAAUAACCCGGCGAAAGUCGGACUAAUACCGCAUAAAACAGGGGCACCGCAUGGUGAUAUUUGUUAAAGAAAUUCGCUGAUAGAUGGGCAUGCGUUCCAUUAGGUAGUUGGUGAGGUAACGGCUCACCAAGCCGACGAUGGAUAGGGGAACUGAGAGGUUGGUCCCCCACACUGGUACUGAGACACGGACCAGACUCCUACGGGAGGCAGCAGUGAGGAAUAUUGGUCAAUGGGCGGGAGCCUGAACCAGCCAAGUCGCGUGAAGGAAGAAGGAUCUAUGGUUCGUAAACUUCUUUUGCAGGGGAAUAAAGUGCAGGACGUGUCCUGUUUUGUAUGUACCCUGAGAAUAAGGAUCGGCUAACUCCGUGCCAGCAGCCGCGGUAAUACGGAGGAUCCGAGCGUUAUCCGGAUUUAUUGGGUUUAAAGGGUGCGUAGGUGGUUUGAUAAGUCAGCGGUGAAAGUUUGCAGCUUAACUGUAAAAAUGCCGUUGAAACUGUCGGACUUGAGUGUAAAUGAGGUAGGCGGAAUGCGUGGUGUAGCGGUGAAAUGCAUAGAUAUCACGCAGAACUCCGAUUGCGAAGGCAGCUUACUAAGCUACAACUGACACUGAAGCACGAAAGCGUGGGGAUCAAACAGGAUUAGAUACCCUGGUAGUCG
rnacentral:rRNA from 1 species